rnacentral:rRNA from 1 species
CAGCAGCCGCGGGAAUACGUAGGUGGCAAGCGUUGUCCGGAAUUAUUGGGCGUAAAGGGCUCGCAGGCGGUUUCUUAAGUCUGAUGUGAAAGCCCCCGGCUCAACCGGGGAGGGUCAUUGGAAACUGGGAAACUUGAGUGCAGAAGAGGAGAGUGGAAUUCCACGUGUAGCGGUGAAAUGCGUAGAGAUGUGGAGGAACACCAGUGGCGAAGGCAGCUUCUUGGUCCAUUCCUGACGUUCAUACACGAAAGCGUGUGGAGCAAACAGGAUUAGAUACCCGAGUAGUCCCUGUCUCUUAUAA